rnacentral:rRNA from 1 species
AACGAACGCUGGCGGCGUGCUUAACACAUGCAAGUCGAACGCGAAAGUUUCCUUCGGGAAGCGAGUAGAGUGGCGCACGGGUGAGUAACACGUGGAUAAUCUGCCCGACGAUUCGGGAUAACAUUCCGAAAGGAGUGCUAAUACCGGAUAAGCCCACAGGCUCUUCGGAGUUUGCGGGAAAAGGUGGGGACCUUCGGGCCUACCGUCGUCGGAUGAGUCCGCGUCCCAUUAGCUAGUUGGCGGGGUAAUGGCCCACCAAGGCGACGAUGGGUAGCUGGUCUGAGAGGAUGAUCAGCCACACUGGAACUGAGACACGGUCCAGACUCCUACGGGAGGCAGCAGUGGGGAAUUUUGCGCAAUGGGGGAAACCCUGACGCAGCAACGCCGCGUGAGUGAUGAAGGCUUUCGGGUCGUAAAGCUCUGUCAGAGGGGAAGAAACUCUUGUGGUCGAACAGGCCGCAGGAUUGACGGUACCCUCAAAGGAAGCACCGGCUAACUCCGUG